rnacentral:ncRNA from 1 species
AACAGGUUCGCUACUCCGAUGCGAUUAAAAAGGGAAUCGGGUGCAAGUCCCGGACAGUCCCGCUGCUGUGAGUCGUCCUUUCCGCAGACAAACAAAAAGCCACUGGUCCCGGCGGGGCUGGGAAGGGGUUUGUCACCGACGACAUAGUCAGAAGACCUGCCGUUGUUA